UACAGAGGUGGCAAGCGUUGUUCGGAAUUACUGGGCGUAAAGGGCUCGUAGGUGGCCAACUAAGUCAGACGUGAAAUCCCUCGGCUUAACCGGGGAACUGCAUCUGAUACUGGAUGGCUUGAGUUUGGGAGAGGGAUGCGGAAUUCCAGGUGUAGCGGUGAAAUGCGUAGAUAUUGGAAGGAACACCGGAGGCGAAAGCGGUGUACUGGGGCUGGUCUGACGCUGAGGCACGAAAGCCAGGGGAGCGAACGGG
rnacentral:rRNA from 1 species